rnacentral:rRNA from 1 species
AGCAGCCGCGGUAAUUCCAGCUCCAAUAGCGUAUAUUAAAGUUGUUGCAGUUAAAAAGCUCGUAGUUGAAUUUCGGGACCAAUCUGCCGGUCGUGCCUCCGGUACGCACUGGUUUUAUUGGUCUCUCCCUUCUGACGAACCAUGAUGUCAUUAAUUUGGUGUCAUGGGGAAUCAGGACUGUUACUUUGAAAAAAUUAGAGUGUUUAUAGCAGGCUCACGCUUGAAUACAUUAGCAUGGAAUAAUGAAAUAGGACGUUUGACCCUAUUUUGUUGGUCUCUAGGAUCAACGUAAUGAUUAAUAGGGAUAGUUGGGGGCAUUAGUAUUCAAUUGUCAGAGGUGAAAUUCUUGGAUUUAUUGAAGACUAACUACUGCGAAAGCAUUUGCCAAGGAUGUUUUCAUUAAUCAAGAACGAAAGUUAGGGGAUCGAAGACGAUCAGAUACCGUCGUAGUCUUAACCAUAAACUAUGCCGACUAGGGAUCGGAUGAUGUUAAUUUUUUAAUGACUCAUUCGGCGCCUUA